rnacentral:rRNA from 1 species
GACAGAGGGUGCAAACGUUGUUCGGAAUUACUGGGCGUAAAGCGCGUGUAGGCGGCUAAGUAAGUCGGGCGUGAAAUCCCACGGCUCAACCGUGGAAGUGCACUCGAAACUGCAUAGCUAGAGUCCUGGAGAGGAAGGUGGAAUGCUUGGUGUAGAGGUGAAAUUCGUAGAUAUCAAGCGGAACACCGGGUGGCGAAGGCGGCCUUCUGGACAGUGACUGACGCUGAGACGGCGAAAAGC